rnacentral:lncRNA from 1 species
UAGACACUAUUCUGAGCUUAUUUCAUGCUCCUGACAGCUCUGUGGUAUUACAGGUGAAGGAACAGAGGCCAAGCAACCUGCCCGACGUCACACAGCUGGACUGAACGAGGACGGAGCACCUGCGUGCACUUUUCCUCCAGCAUCUGGGAAGCAGACGCUAUGGCAAGGAGGCUGGCAGGACCUCCUUCCAGGUAUCAAGACAUGGGACCAUCGGGCUGGCUGGGGAAGCAACAUGAGGUGCACUGUCAGACUUGGCAAGAGACUACUUCAAGAAGAGCAAGCUCUAUUCUAGAUGGUGUGUCUGGGAAGGGCUACUGCUGAAUUGUAAGUGUAUGAGAAUUUUGAUUGUUCAGCUUUGGCCUACCUCAGCAAGUACACCGGAGCUCACGUUCGGAGGCUGUCACAAACCCCAGCUUUGUUAAUGAGCGCACUGUCUGCCAAAAUCACACGCCUCCCGUCAGGCAGACAAGGGUUUGGUUAAUCUGGCCUCAGCCGCUGAAUCGAUCACAUUGACUUUGAUGAACCUCGGUGUCUUCCCCAAUCCGUACGAAGCCCUGAGUUUCAGCGUGACGGUGGCGGGAAGCGGAGCCUUUGGGAGACAGUGAGGUCAGCAAAGGCCAAGAGCAGGGCCCCUCCUGAGGGACUAGUGAGUGGCCUUACAAGAAGAGACGCAGAACACGUUCUCCCUCUCCUCCCUCUCUCUGCUGUGUGAAGGACACAUAGCAAGAAGCAGCCUGUGUGAAAGCCAGGAAGAGAGCCCACGCCAAAAUAUUCUCAGCCUUCCCAGCUUCCAGAACUGUAAGAAAAUAAAUUUCUGUUAUUUUACCUGACUCUGAUGUUUUGUUACACUAGUUCAAGCAGACAUAUGAUUUCCUCAUCUGUAAAAUGGGCAUUAUCUAUACCUUAUACACUUUAAGGAAUUUGAACUAAUUGUAUCAAAAUACCAAGAAACCUGGACAUAUUUCUUUCCCUCCCUUCUGCCUCUUCCUUCUACGGCUCAUUUUCUGUUUCUUUUCCUUCCUCCCCGCUUUCUCUCUCCUUCCACCUCCAACCCAGGGCCUUCACACUGGCCUACAUUCCCAACCUUUAAAAAAGUUCUUGUUG